GGCGUGUACUGCUUGGCUGGGCCUUACUUCUUGGUGAGCCGGCGUGCCCUUUAUUGGUGUGCGUCGGGGAACCAGGACUUUUACCUUGAGAAAAUUAGAGUGUUCAAAGCAGGCCUGUGCCUGAAUACAUUAGCAUGGAAUAAUAGAAUAGGACGUGCGGUUCUAUUUUGUUGGUUUCUAGAGUCGCCGUAAUGAUUAAUAGGGACAGUUGGGGGCAUUGGUAUUGAGUCGCUAGAGGUGAAAUUCUUGGAUUGACUCAAGACCGACUAUUGCGAAAGCAUUUGCCCAAGGAUGUUUUCAUUAAUCAAGAACGAAGGUUAGGGGGAUCGAAAACGAUCAGAUACCGUUGUAGUCUUAACAGUAAACUAUGCCGACUAGGGAUCGGAUGACCUCAAAAUUGAUGUGUCAUUCGGCACCUUACGAGAAAUCAAAGUCUUUGGGUUCUGGGGGGGAGUAUGGUCGCAAGGCUGAAACUUAAAGGAAUUGACGGAAGGGCACCACCAGGUGUGGAGCCUGCGGCUUAAUUUGACUCAACACGGGGAAACUCACCAGGUCCAGACAUAACUAGGAUUGACAGAUUGAUAGCUCUUUCAUGAUUUUAUGGGUGGUGGUGCAUGGCCGUUCUUAGUUGGUGGAGUGAUUUGUCUGGUUAAUUCCGAUAACGAACGAGACCUUAACCUGCUAAAUAGCCAGGCCGGCUUCGGCUGGUCUCUGGCUUCUUAGAGGGACUGUCAG
rnacentral:rRNA from 1 species